rnacentral:rRNA from 1 species
UACGGGGGGGGCAAGCGUUGUUCGGAUUUACUGGGCGUAAAGGGCGCGUAGGCGGCCCGCCAAGUCACUUGUGAAAUCUCCGGGCUUAACCCGGAGCGGCCAAGUGAUACUGACGGGCUGGAGUGCGGAAGGGGCCACCGGAAUUCUCGGUGUAGCGGUGAAAUGCGUAGAUAUCGAGAGGAACACCUGCGGCGAAGGCGGGUGGCUGGGCCGACACUGACGCUCAUGCACGAAAGCGUGGGGAGCAAACAGG